AACAUCGCGCACCUGCGGGAACCUGCGGAAGGAUCAUUACAGAGUUGCAAAACUCCCUAAACCAUUGUGAACGUUACCUAAACCGUUGCUUCGGCGGGCGGCCCGGGUCCUUCCCGGCGCCCAUCGGUCCUCGCGGGCGCCCGCCGGAGGUAAACCAAACUAUUGCAUUGUAUGGCCUCUCUGAGUCUUCUGUACUGAAUAAGUCAAAACUUUCAACAAUGGAUCUCAGAUCGGAAGAGC
rnacentral:misc_RNA from 1 species